rnacentral:hammerhead_ribozyme from 1 species
AUCCAGCUGACUAGUCUCAAAUAGGACGAAGCGCCUGUCCUGGAU